rnacentral:rRNA from 1 species
AGUGAACGCUGGCGGUAGGCCUAACACAUGCCAGUCGAACGGCAGCACAGUAAGAGCUUGCUCUUACGGGUGGCGAGUGGCGGACGGGUGAGGAAUACAUCGGAAUCUACUUUUUCGUGGGGGAUAACGUAGGGAAACUUACGCUAAUACCGCAUACGACCUACGGGUGAAAGCAGGGGAUCUUCGGACCUUGCGCGAUUGAAUGAGCCGAUGUCGGAUUAGCUAGUUGGCGGGGUAAAGGCCCACCCAGGCGACGAUCCGUAGCUGGUCUGAGAGGAUGAUCCGCCACACUGGAGCUGAGACACGGUCCAGGCUCCGACGGGAGGCAGCAGUGGGGAAUGUUGGACAAUGGGCGCAAGCCUGAUCCAGCCAUGCCGCGUGGGUGAAGAAGGCCUUCGGGUUGUAAAGCCCUUUUGUUGGGAAAGAAAAGCAGCAGGUUAAUACCCCGCUGUUCUGACGGUACCCAAAGAAUAAGCACCGGCUAACUUCGU